rnacentral:rRNA from 1 species
UACAGAGGAGCCAAGCGUUGUCCGGAUUGACUGGGCGUAAAGCGCACGCAGGCGGACGCGCGCGUGGGGUGUGAAAUCUGGCCGCUUAACGGCCAGGCGCCAUCCCAUACGGCGCGUCUGGAGUGAUGCAGAGGUCGAUGGAAUUGCCGGUGUAGUGGUGAAAUGCGUAGAGAUCGGCAGGAACACCAGUGGCGAAGGCGACUACCUGGCCUGUUCUUGACGCUGAGGCGCGAAAGCUAGGGGAGCAAACGGG